rnacentral:rRNA from 1 species
GGGGAAUUUUGGACAAUGGGCGCAAGCCUGAUCCAGCAUUGCCGCGUGCAGGAUGAAGGCCUCCGGGUUGUAAACUGCUUUUGUCCGGACCGAAAAGCCCCUCCCUAAUACAGGGGGUUGAUGACGGUACCGUAAAAAUAAGCACCGUCAACCUACGUGCCAGCAGCCGCGGUAAUACGUAGGGUGCAAGCGUUAAUCGGAAUUACUGGCGUAAAGCGUGCGCAGGCGGUUUUGUAAGACAGUGGUGAAAUCCCCGGGCUCAACCUGGGAACUGCCAUUGUGACUGCAAGGCUGGAGUGCGGCAGAGGGGGAUGGAAUUCCGCGUGUAGCAGUGAAAUGCGUAGAUAUGCGGAGGAACACCGAUGGCGAAGGCAAUCCCCUGGGCCUGCACUGACGCUCAUGCACGAAAGCGUGGGGAGCAAACA